rnacentral:lncRNA from 1 species
AGAAUCGCCUUGCACACUUCCUCAAGGACAAGACAGGAAAAGAUGCAGUGCCUUUCCUAGGAAUGAGAGUGCUGCCAGAAAGGACACUUCUCUGCACGGGAAGCAGAAGACUAUUUGCUUCAAAAUGGUGCUGAAAAGAUACAGAAGUUCAAGAGGAUCACGACAGUACCAGAUGAAAUAAAGAGGCUACUUCCCGUCAGCUCCUCGGUCUGUCAACUUCCAAGUCAGCCACACCAAAUUGGAGGACCAGGUAUCACAUUAAACCGAUGCAUCAGCCCCACCUUAAAAUACCUGAGCCAAGUGCUGAGAGCAUGAAGGGGCUGCUAGCAAGCCUUUGGAAUCAGAGGAUGGGGAAAAGGGCGCAUGUACAUGUUUCUCUCCUUGCACUCCUGCCUGAGAGGAG